ACAAAGGCUCUUUUAAGAGCCACCCACAUUGCAAUAAAAUAGUAUU
rfam:Salmo salar isolate Sally breed double haploid chromosome ssa21, whole genome shotgun sequence.